GGAGAGAUGGCCGAGCGGUCUAAGGCGCACGAUUGGAAGUCGUGUGUACUUGAAAAGGUACCGAGGGUUCAAAUCCCUCUCUCUCCG
rnacentral:tRNA from 1 species